CUACGGGUGGCAGCAGUCGAGAAUAAUUCACAAUGGGCGAAAGCCUGAUGGUGCAACGCCGCGUGGAGGAUGAAGGUCUUCGGAUUGUAAACUCCUGUCAUCGGGGAGUAAGACCUGGGCGUGAAUAGCGCACAGGGUUGAUAGUACCCGAAGAGGAAGGGACGGCUAACUUCGUGCCAGCAGCCGCGGUAAUACGAAGGUCCCAAGCGUUGUUCGGAAUCACUGGGCGUAAAGGGAGCGUAGGCUGCGCGGUAAGUCAGGUGUGAAAUCCCGGGGCUCAACCCCGGAACUGCACCCGAUACUGCCGUGCUUGAGGGUUGGAGAGGUAGCUGGAAUUCUCGGUGUAGCAGUGAAAUGCGUGGAUAUCGGGAGGAACACUCGUGGCGAAGGCGAGCUACUGGACAACAUCUGACGCUGAGGCUCGAAGGCCAGGGGAGCAAAAGGGAUUAGAUACCCUUGUAGUC
rnacentral:rRNA from 1 species